AAAGAAGUGCACCGUCCGUUGUGAAAAGGAAGACAUGUAAGAAGAUAGCAUACAAGAGAAGUCUGCAGCUUAGUGAGGGAAACUGGAGGAACUGGAUCAUAUUCAGAGGUGGUGUGAAAGAAUGAAGAAUCCGUCCCUUUAUCAGGAAAGCGUUGCGGCUGCCAACUUUUCGCUCUGGAUGAGUCCCACGCCGAGCUCGUGGAUGAACGCUGGUUUCGAGGAGGCAGCUGGUAGAGCCUGGAGCGCAUGAGAGUCUGUACCUGCCAUCUGCCAGACCGCUGGGUAAUGGAUGAAACCUGGAUGUUUUCUGACGGAGCUGGUGCGAGCCGAGGACGACCUCCACCCGACCAGAGUGCAGACGGACCGGUCGCCUCUUGGCUUCGCUUCGUUCUCUG
ensembl:lncRNA